GCUGGACAAGUAGCUCAGUUGGUAAAGCAUGAGGUUCUUAAUCUCUGAGUUGCGGGUUUGAGACUCACAUUGGGCA